AAUGACCUGCGGCAGUCUACACAUGCAGUCGAACGGUAACAGGAAGCAGCUUGCUGCUUCGCUGGCGAGUGGCGGACGGGUGAGUAAUGUCUGGGAAACUGCCUGAUGGAGGGGGAUAACUACUGGAAACGGUGGCUAAUACCGCAUAACGUCGCAAGACCAAAGAGGGGGACCUUCGGGCCUCUUGCCAUCAGAUGUGCCCAGAUGGGAUUAGCUAGUUGGUGAGGUAACGGCUCACCAAGGCGACGAUCCCUAGCUGGUCUGAGAGGAUGACCAGCCACACUGGAACUGAGACACGGUCCAGACUCCUACGGGAGGCAGCAGUGGGGAAUAUUGCACAAUGGGCGCAAGCCUGAUGCAGCCAUGCCGCGUGUAUGAAGAAGGCCUUCGGGUUGUAAAGUACUUUCAGCGGGGAGGAAGGUGUUGUGGUUAAUAACCGCAGCAAUUGACGUUACCCGCAGAAGAAGCACCGGCUAACUCCGUGCCAGCAGCCGCGGUAAU
rnacentral:rRNA from 1 species